UACGUAGGUGGCGAGCGUUGUCCGGAUUUAUUGGGUUUAAAGGGUGCGUAGGCGGUCCUAUAAGUCAGUGGUGAAAUCUCUCGGCUUAACUGAGAAAUUGCCAUUGAUACUGGGAGACUUGAGUGUAGUUGCCGUUGGCGGAAUAUGACAUGUAGUGGUGAAAUACAUAGAGAUGUCAUAGAACACCGAUUGCGAAGGCAGCUAACGAAACUAUAACUGACACUGAGGCUCGAAAGUGCGGGGAUCAAACAGG
rnacentral:rRNA from 1 species